AACGAACGCUGGCGGCGCGCCUAAUACAUGCAAGUCGAGCGAGAAGGUGUAGCAAUACACUUGUAAAGCGGCGAACGGGUGAGGAAUACAUGGGUAAUCUACCAUCGAGUGGGGAAUAACCAGCCGAAAGGUUGGCUAAUACCGCGUACGCCUCCGAAUCUUCGGGUUCGGAGGGAAAGCCACACUGUGAGUGCGGCGCUCUUUGAUGAGCUCAUGUCCUAUCAGCUUGUUGGUAGGGUAACGGCCUACCAAGGCUUUGACGGGUAGCUGGUCUGAGAGGACGAUCAGCCACACUGGCACUGCGACACGGGCCAGACUCCUACGGGAGGCAGCAGUAAGGAAUAUUGCGCAAUGGGCGAAAGCCUGACGCAGCGACGCCGCGUGGGGGAUGAAGGUCUUCGGAUUGUAAACCCCUUUCGGGAGGGAAGAUGGAGCGAGCAAUCGUUCGGACGGUACCUCCAGAAGCAGCCACGGCCAACUUCGUGCCAGCA
rnacentral:rRNA from 1 species